UUACCCCAGUAUUAAAAUGAAGAAGUAGAGCUGGCAAUUCUGUGGUUCUUGAUCAGCGUGAGAGUCCAGCUUCAGCACAGCUCAAAGGGACACGGGGAACUCUGGGAUACUGGAACUCCCUGUGCUCGCUUUGGCACGGAUAUUCUCCGGGUUCAGACUGAAAAUACUCCUUCAGGUUGGUGUAUGCCAGGAUGUCUGAAGUCUUGGGAAUAAAAGGUGA